AUACAACUUUCAACAACGGAUCUCUUGGCUCUCGCAUCGAUGAAGAACGCAGCGAAAUGCGAUAAGUAAUGUGAAUUGCAGAAUUCAGUGAAUCAUUGAAUCUUU
rnacentral:rRNA from 1 species